rnacentral:rRNA from 1 species
CCUACGGGGGGCUGCAGUGAGGAAUAUUGGUCAAUGGACGAGAGUCUGAACCAGCCAAGUAGCGUGAAGGAUGAAUGCCCUAUGGGUUGUAAACUUCUUUUAUAUGGGAAUAAAAUGUUCCACGUGUGGGAUUUUGUAUGUACCAUAUGAAUAAGGAUCGGCUAACUCCGUGCCAGCAGCCGCGGUAAUACGGAGGAUCCGAGCGUUAUCCGGAUUUAUUGGGUUUAAAGGGAGCGUAGGUGGAUUGUUAAGUCAGUUGUGAAAGUUUGCGGCUCAACCGUAAAAUUGCAGUUGAAACUGGCAGUCUUGAGUACAGGAGAGGUGGGCGGAAUUCGAGGUGUAGCGGUGAAAUGCUUAGAUAUCACGAAGAACUCCGAUUGCGAAGGCAGUUCACUGGACUGCAACUGACACUGAGGCUCGAAAGUGUGGGUAUCAAACAGGAUUAGAUACCCGUGUAGUC